UGAUAAUUAAUGUCAAGACUUUCUGCAUCUCUGAGGCAAGGAGGCAACACUUCAGAGAAUGAUUCCCUGCCAGAAUGCAAAGAAACUCAAUGAGGUGAACCAAGAUUUAUGUGUUUGUUACCACCAUCUGUGAACAGAAUCAUUGAAGACAACAAAGGGUUGAGGUCAUCAGAGGCUUAGAAGAAGUAGAAGCUGACAUCUACAUCAGGAGACAUGAACCAUCCAGUUGAACGUGCCAGAUACAUGUCUCAACUUUCCAUUUCUUACAAAGGGUCCUCAAUUAAACUGAAUCACAAGAAGUUGGGUCAAUUCAUUCUUUCAGUUAGGUCUUUUCAUACCAGCUAAUCUCCUACCUUCACUUAGAGACAAGUGGGUCACCACCGAAAGUCACUGAAAGAUGAGAUAAAACAAAGAAACUUGGACCAGGAAAUUGAGAAAUCAGAACUGAGGACUACACUGCAAUGAGAAAUUGUGAAGAGAAAUGAAAAGAACCAGUAAGGGUGACUGUUAGUGAGAUGCUUUGUGGACUAAAAAAUCCAAAAGGAA
rnacentral:lncRNA from 1 species